GCAUCGAGGGAACAACCAGCAGCGGUUUGCAUUAGUGCGUCUUUAACGGUGUACCAACUCAUAAGGGCAUUGCAUCGAGCGUGAACAUGUGUGAGCGUGUAUUCCGAGUAUUCAAAUAGGCGUCUGCGUGAGCGUGCGAUUGACAGGCCAAGGUGAUUAACUUCUCUCGCGAAUUGAAUAAUAUUGACGGUUAUUCUUAAAUUUGGCGCAAAAAUAAGAUACAAUAAAGAUCCAUUAAAUGGAGUUACUAAGAUUAUUUAAAAAUAAAUCUUCAAUGGAAAAAAAGAAAGGUGCCAAAAUUAAUUUAUACACCUAAUAAAUUAAUGGUAAAAUAAAUGUUUAUGAGGAAAGAAUUGAAUAACCAAUUUAUUUUUUUAAAUCUGAAGUGAUGUUUCGACUUUUGAUCCCAGUGUAUAUAACAGAAGCUUUGAUGAACGACAGCGUUUUAAUCAACCAUGAACUGCCGGGUAAGAAAUAAAAUUUAUCAGCAGAGGGCCAGGGUCAAAGCGGUCUUUGAAGUGAACAGGAUAGAAGAAUACAGACCAAAGAGAGUGAAAAUGAUUAGUUAAGGAGUCGAGUUACGGGUCAGGUCACCCCGUGAGUCUAAGUCGGGGAUUAGAAGAGCCCAUAGAAUUUUCGUUAGCCCACCUCCUGGAACAGCCACGCGAUUACAUUCUUCUAAGAUGACUAAGCGGCCCCUUUUCAAAGAAAAACAUCAAAAACGAUAGCAGCAGAAGCUCUUCCAAUUUUUCCUAAUGAUAUACAGUAGACUCUCGUUAUAUUGCCACAUUAGCGAUUUCAGCCUACGAAAAUGAUCUCUCUUUUCCUCUCCGAUUAAAUGUUUGGAAACUUCAAGAAAUUGUCGAAAAACAAAAAUGGAAAAUCUAAUAAAAUAUAAAUUUGGAACUAAAAUUUUAAAAAAUUUGGAAAGUUGAAUUAGUCAUUUUGGUCUGUGACUCGUGUAAUUAAAAUUUAGCUAUGGGUCAAAAGUGACUACAUAUCAGCUCACCUAUUUGUCCUUUUUAAUAUUAAUGAUCUAUUAAGUUCCUAAAAAAUGUUUAAAAGCCUUCUAAUGAUUACUGACUUCCAAUAGAUACAUCAAAGCUAUUCGAAAACCAGCAGUGAUUGAGCUGUUCGAAAUUCGCCAGAGUAUUGAAUGGCCAUUAGCAGGCGUAUUAGGGUCUUUAUUCGGUACCUUUUACGCGAUUGGUAUGGACGACGAUGAAUGAGUACUGCGAGGGUCCGCAUCUCGAUUAGAAGAUUAGAUUGCAAUUAGCUGCUUGUGUUAGCUGACCGCAUUCAGGACAACGAGGUGCUGGGGCUGCUCCAAAAUGCACCCACUAAUUUGCUACUCCUACUCUAGAUGGCCAAGUUUCUUCUUGUGGAUCAAGGAUAAAGCUGACAAAGGAAAAGAUUUCAGCAUCCCCUUAACACGUUCAUUGCUACGUCAGUUACAGCUGAAUGAUUGGCUAUAACAUUAUUAAGAAUAUCAGGAUUUUCCGGAGGGUUCCCGUUGAAUUUUAUGGAAAAUUCAAAGUUCGCGUCUCGUUUAUAGUCGGUCGAGCGAAUCCUGCAUAAAAAUACGGGACAAAAAAAUGCGCAUGAAGAAAGUUCAAUACGCAUACAGACAGCACCAUUUCUAGGGGAUGCUGUUAAAAAAGAAGCUUUUUUGGACCACUACCCUUGGUUAGGUGAGGAUUAUACGGUUAGGGGAAAGCAUCCUGGCUACUAACCGUAUCGGAAAUAUCGUUCGGUGGAUUUUCAAGCUCGUACGGCUCUAGGGUGUACCCCAAAAUUCGACUGGGUGCAGAAAUAAUGGGAGCGAGCUCGAGGAAACAGGCAGUCGAGGGCGGAAAUCGGGAAAUCCGGAUCAAAGCAACACAGGGCUCUUUACUCGCACCACAAAGAUAAUACAUAUCUCGUCAAGGGGAAUAAAUAUUCCGAAGCCCUGAAGGUACGAGAUAACAGUGUAAAUUUAACAAUAGAAAAGUGAAAUUUUAUUGACACGUUUAACUGUAUGUAAUUCAAAAUUUGUAGAUUUGUGAAAAAUAUAAAUUAUUAUUAGGUGUACAAAUUAAUACGGUAUUUGACGAAUUUUUGCGAGUAUACUCGUCAUGAAAAAAUGGCAAUAUUUUGUAUUAUGACGAGUAUACAUUUUAUUACAAUUUAAUUUUAUAUUAUCAAAGAGGACGCAACAGCCAUCUGGUUAAUUUAUUAUUUCCAUUUCCAAUAAAAACUGUCCAUCUCUGAUACCAGUUAACAAGAAACACUCUAACAAAUCAUUUCCCUUCUAUUUACAUAGAAAACAGAGAUAGUUGUAACAAUGUCUCUAUAAUAACAAGUAUUUGUACAAUUGUUACUCCGAGCAUGAAGGAUCAGAGAAAUGCUCGCGAAUCUUUCCGAAUUGACUUGCAAAUCAAUUCGACAAACGUUUUACGAGUCUCAUUUGAGAGAUCAGAAAAAUUCUCAGCCAUAAAGCGUCCAGAGACGUGGAUCAUUAUCGUCUAUUUCUCACUUGAAGAAACUCGAGAAUCGAUAAGUUGAAGAAAAGGAAUAUCCGGCCGUGAGUGAAUUGAAAGGAAGCACGAGAGGCUAAGGAUCGCAUUGAAAUCAGAAAUGAAUGUCCAGGAUACGUUGGCGAGUUGAAAAAAAAAAAGAAAAGAAAAAAGAGAGAAUUCCCUUCUAGCCGCUCGAGAAGUCUUCUUUAUCUCAAGUUUUAUUUUCACCACCGCGACGCUUCGACUUGGUAGAAAAGAAGUUUUGCUGGUCGAAGGAACAAUUGAAAAAGGAACGAGGUCCGAGCAGGACGAAUGGGAACGAAUCGAGCCUCUUAAAACUGCCAAAAGAGUGUACGGGACCGAUAAAAAAAAAUAAAAGAAGGAACUAAAAACGAGUCGUUGAAAAAGAAUUGAUCGUCGAGAGUAAAUUCGAAAGUGGAUCGAGACCGUACCGUUUCUCGUUCACUCGUCUUCCAAGUUAUUUUUUCUGUUAUGUCGAGUGCUUCUGAAAAUUAUAAAGGGAACGUUUUUAAUGAGGAACUUAUUAAAACUGCGCGAUCAAAUCAGGCUUACCUAGGGAAAAUGGCGAUGCGGGGGAGGUGGGAUUUCUUUUAACUCGAUGCCAGGUACAACAUCCGAAGAAUUAUUCAAAUUGCAUCGGUGCAGUGUUCGAAUCUGCAUUAAUAAAACGACGACGACGAGGCGCGUAUCGAAG